GAUGAACGCUGGCGGCGUGCCUAAUACAUGCAAGUAGAACGCUGAAGGAGGAGCUUGCUCUUCUGGAUGAGUUGCGAACGGGUGAGUAACGCGUAGGUAACCUGCCUGGUAGCGGGGGAUAACUAUUGGAAACGAUAGCUAAUACCGCAUGACAACAGUUAUUGCAUGAUAACUGUUUAAAAGGGGCAACUGCUCCACUACCAGAUGGACCUGCGUUGUAUUAGCUAGUUGGUGAGGUAACGGCUCACCAAGGCGACGAUACAUAGCCGACCUGAGAGGGGGAUCGGCCACACUGGGACUGAGACACGGCCCAGACUCCUACGGGAGGCAGCAGUAGGGAAUCUGCGGCAAUGGACGGAAGUCUGACCGAGCAACGCCGCGUGAGUGAAGAAGGUUUUCGGAUCGUAAAGCUCUGUUGUAAGAGAAGAACGAGUGUGAGAGUGGAAAGUUCACACUGUGACGGUAUCUUACCAGAAAGGGACGGCUAACUACGUG
rnacentral:rRNA from 1 species